rnacentral:lncRNA from 1 species
UAUAUAAUGAAUAUUUUUAUAUGUGGGCAUAUGUAUGAUGAAGCACUUCAUUAGGGCAUAUUUGAGUAACCGAAAGUAAAGUAUCUAAAGUGACAUUUUAUCGUUUGUUUAAUUUGCGAAAGUGAAUACGAAAGUCAUUUUGCGAUUACGAGAGUAGGCUAAUAAAGUAAGUUAUAACUAAAUAUCACUUUUUUAAUUUCAGCUCAAAAAAUUCGAAGUCAUUGAAAGUGGAGAGCUUAGUUAAGAAGUUAUAUUUACUCUUAAUUUUAAUAUUUGAAUUUAUUUUUAAAAUUAAAUAUGACUUUAAAUUUGUAUUAAAAUCAUGUUCGCAUUCUGAAUUUUAUUUGUAAAUUGAAAUUCCACAUAAAAUUUUAAAUUCAAAUUUGUGACUUUAUAUUUAAAUUUAAUUUUUUAAAGUUUAUUUUUAUUUAAAUUUGAAUUUUAGAAUAUAAAUUUAAACUAUAAAAUUUAAAUUUUAAUCAAAUUAAUUUUAG